CCGACUUCCGAGCAGAAGAGUUUCCUGCACUCCAUAAAAGUGCUCCAGGUGGAAGCACUGAAUACGUUCACAUACUCAGAAGCAAGCAUGUUAUUUUCAAAAGCUGUAUCGGUGGUAAAUGUAGGUGGAAAGCAGAAUGAAGUUCCUACUCUGUGAUGGAGACAGCACUUAAGAACCGGCUUGUGGAACAAAGCUUCUUUGUGAUUCUGUUCAGGUUCUUGCUCCCUUCAUCUUCCCCCACAGCAGCUAAUUUAGCUUCACAACAGUGCUUCAAAGUACAUGGAGAACUAUUGAAGUUGAGAGAAAAAGCUUGGGCAGCUGUGGAGAAGACCUGGCUAUGUGCAUUCAGUCCUAAAGAGAGAAAUGCAAAUUCUCAGUAUCCAAAAGCAGAAAAUUACUGAAGCCCUUAUUUUUUUCCCCCUAUCUCUGCGAUCUGUGCUAACAGCAAUGAAGAUUUCUGGACUAUUCUCCUAUACCUAAACUUGUAUUCUCUUUAGGCUUUGAGCCAGCUGUUUGAAGAUUUUAGAUGACCGACCUUGUGAGCUAAGAUCCCAGUGCUAUUGCUAUUUCACUUGUGCAGUCAUGUACCUUUCACUUAGCUCCUUCCUCACUGAUGUGGAAAUCGAUCCCAGACCUAAAUGAAAACUGUGUGCUUCCUUUAUUGUCUUAUCCUUUGAAUAUACUUUAUUAAAGUUAUUAAAAAAAUAGAAUCCCUUGUACUGUACCAGUGAGAGGCAGUUUUAGGGUGUGCUUUUAGUAUUCAGUCUUGGGGAAGUCUUUAUAUAGUCUUUUAGUCUACAUGCUAGGCAUGUACUGUGCACAUGUUUCUGCCUCGUGUUAUAAUGCUGAAACAUAAUGGUUUGUUGUACACAUUUGUCAUACUGUACAAAAUCCAACCAGUGGAACAGAGGCCUGCACUUGCAUACCACAGCAAAACAUGAUCCAGUACUGAAACUGAAAUCCAGAUCAGUCUGAUGAAAAACACCUAAGGAUUGAAAUGAAGGAGAAGAAUUUUCAGAAUAGCACGUUUGUAGAACAAGCCGUGAAAGCAGCACUUCGCUGUUCUCCCCAUGAGACUUACAAAGAUGGGAAUCAUUGCUGUCUUCACAACAUUUCAGAGAUGUACACUAAGACAGCUGUACGUGUUUUCUAGACUGUAAGAUUCAGUCUUGCAUGUUCUUUUUUAAAGCCAAGUAUGCAUCUUGUUUGUUGCUUGCAGCCCCACUUUUCCCUUUGCCACUCCAUCUCAUCAUGGCCAUCCAUCACUGCAGGACUACUGACUCUCCAGGGCCAAGCUGCUCUAGAGAUUAUUUCUUACCCAUCCUUUCUAAGCACUGUCUUCAGCCACCUUCUGGCCAGUCACAAACUCAGCUAAAUCUCUGACUAUCAUUUGGCCUUCCU
rnacentral:lncRNA from 1 species